rnacentral:lncRNA from 1 species
UAUAGAACGUAGGAAAUAAACGGAAAGAAUAAAAGAUGGCGGGAGAAACGGGCCAUUACGCCGCACAUGAAUGUAUUAGCUCAAUGGGCAACCAUUAAACACCCGCUGUGUCUGAGCUAGAUCCUGAUUGCUCAGGAGAAGUGCAGACAGGGGAACAGCUAUUCUCUAAAGUGCUGUUUUCAACAAUGCGUGUUAAGCUGUGAGACCACCAGAUUCCAGACCCCCGGCUACGUAACCAUGCCUCCAGAGGAUUUUUCAUUGGUGGGGUGUAAGAAGG